rnacentral:rRNA from 1 species
CAUGUCUGURUGAAGUUUUAUGGAAUCUAGCCUGCCCGCUGAGGUAUCUUGAAAGGCCGCGGUAUAUUGACUGGGCAAAGGUAGCAUAAUCAUUAGUUUUUUAAUAGAAGGCUUGUAUGAAUGGUUGGACAAAAGAUAAGCUGUCUUUAAUAUAAAGUUUGAAGUUUACUUUUAAGUGAAAAGGCUUAAAUACAUUUGAGGGACGAUAAGACCCCCUAAAUCUUUAUAUUAAUUAAACUUUAUUAUUGAUUUAUAAUAGUUAAAUUAAAUAAUAAGGAAAUAUAUAUUAUAUUGGGGUGAUAAGAAUAUAAAUAAUAAACUGUUCUUAAAUUWWAUACAAUAAUAUUUGUUUAUUAAAAGAUCCUUUUUAAAGAUUUAAGUUUAAGUUACUUUAGGGAUAACAGCGUUAUUUUUUUUGAAAGUCCUUAUCGAGAAAAAAGUUUGCGACCCCGAUGUUGAAUUAAAAUUUCUUUAUGGUGAAGCAUUUAUAAUAGAGAGUCUGUUCGACUUUUAAAUUCUUACAUGAUCUGAGA